rnacentral:rRNA from 1 species
GACGAACGCUGGCGGCGUGCUUAACACAUGCAAGUCGAACGGAAAGGCUCCAGCUUGCUGGAGUACUCGAGUGGCGAACGGGUGAGUAACACGUGGGUAAUCUGCCCUGCACUCUGGGAUAAGCCUGGGAAACUGGGUCUAAUACUGGAUAUGACCUUUCUCCUUAUGGGGGUUGGUGGAAAGUUUUGCGGUGUAGGAUGAGCCCGCGGCCUAUCAGCUUGUUGGUGGGGUGAUGGCCUACCAAGGCGACGACGGGUAGCCGGCCUGAGAGGGUGAUCGGCCACAUUGGGACUGAGAUACGGCCCAGACUCCUACGGGAGGCAGCAGUGGGGAAUAUUGCACAAUGGGCGGAAGCCUGAUGCAGCGACGCCGCGUGAGGGAUGACGGCCUUCGGGUUGUAAACCUCUUUCAGCAGGGACGAAGCGUAAGUGACGGUACCUGCAGAAGAAGCACCGGCUAACUAUGUG